AGAUUGAACGCUGGCGGCAGGCCUAACACAUACAAGUCGAGCGGUAGAGAGGUGCUUGCACCUCUUGAGAGCGGCGGACGGGUGAGUAAUGCCUAGGAAUCUGCCUAGUGGUGGGGGAUAACGUUCGGAAACGGACGCUAAUACCGCAUACGUCCUACGGGAGAAAGCGGGGACCUUCGGGCCUCGCGCCAUUAGAUGAGCCUAGGUCGAUUAGCUAGUGGUGAGGUAAUGGCUCACCAAGGCGACGAUCCGUAACUGGUCUGAGAGGAUGAUCAGUCACACUGGAACUGAGACACGGUCCAGACUCCUACGGGAGCAGCAGUGGGAAUAUUGGACAAUGGGCAAAGCCUGAUCCGGCCAUGCCGCGUGUGUGAAGAAGGUCUUCGGAUUGGUAAAAGCUAACGUUUAAGUUGGGAAGGUAAAGGGUUUAGUAAACGUUUAAGUACCGUUUAGACUAAACUUUGAACGUUUACCGAACUAGAAAUAAGCAACCGGACUAACUUCGUAGUCCAGCCAAGCCGACGGUAACUCGUA
rnacentral:rRNA from 1 species